UUCCCUAUUUUUGGACUAUCCCAAUAUUUUCCCUGUCUCAAAUCAACGACCAAACAUCCUAAUAUCAUACCAAACAAUUGACAACCAAUCAAUCAACAAAAAUGAGUCUCCACUAUUACUAAUCAAUCAACUAACAACCAGAAAUACUAAUUUAUCUCCAACCUUGAUAAUAAAGAACGAUACUCAACAUAAGACUAUAAUAACAAAAUAAUACUCAUGACACUAAAAGAAUGACCAUGGAGCGACUCUAAGAGUUCAAAGAAAGACCAUGAAAAUAAAUAAAAUCUCCGCCCACGCGAGCAAGUGCGAUGCUCACUGAGAACUAUCAACUUGUGUGCUCUAAUUAACGAAAUCCUCGCCUGUGUCAACUGCUGUCUCGUAAAAUAAAUUAGCAGGGAAUGAGUCGCUAGCUCAGUGAAUAAUAACACUUAACCAAAACUAUUCUAAUUUGGGGACAAGUCAAAAAACAUGCUAGUAAUCAAACAGAAAACAACAUAAAAUGGCCCUUUCAGAAACUACAAAUAAUUUUCAGUCUCAUCAUGCUUUUCUUGUAGUAUAAUACAAAUACAAUUCACUAAUAAGCUCGGUAACCACUGUAUAAUAUCAAUAUUCACAUUUGGGAGGUUUAAAUGAACGGAUCAUGUAAUCGAUAUAAUUGUGGACUUCUUUGAAAGAAGUCAAAUAUAACGGUAGUCCCUACUCGAGGAAAAAUCGGUAAUGGUAUGCUAGUUCUACCUUCCCACUAGCGAGGGCUAUAACUAUACUCUGUAAUCGGUAAAUACAAGGUGCACCAGGUCUAACGAACCCGCCGUUAGCUAUGGGAUCCUUCAAAGUCUAUUCCCAUUUAUACUUGUCUCUGUAAUCCGUAUAUACUCAUAGGAAAUAUUUUAAAACAAUAUAGGGCAUUUCGGUUCUUAUCAAAUCAUAUAAUUUCAUUUCGAAAACAGUAAAUUCAAGUAACGGUAAAACAGAUCUAGUGACAACGAAAAUAUUCAAAACAACGGUAAUCUUCUCAAUUAACUAUUUCAGUAUCAUAUCGAGUAAAAAACUUGUCCCACAUGCAACGCAAAAUAAUCGGUAACAUAUUCAUAUUAAAAAUCAUGUGUAAAUCAUGCAAGUUAUGAAAACACAAAUUGUGGUAAGAUUACUACUAACAAUACUCGUGCCGAAAUACCAAUGCUUCACCUCGAGCAAAUCGUACAACUUCCUCCAAUCAAUCUAUAAUUACAUAAUAUCGAUCUCAUGUUAAUUGCCUCAUUUAGGCUAAAUCCAUCACUAAUUUAGAAUACCCAAUCAUUAGGGUUCAUAUUUGAGUCUUUGUUUGUCGAUUUAUAUUUAAUCAUAGAACUAGUCCAUAAUUCUAUCAAUUUCAAACUAUUUAGUAUAAUUUAUUCCUCUAAAAUUAGACCUAUCAGUCCUUAAACCAAACCUUUAUAACCUUUUGUACUACAUGAAAUUGCAUUGAUGCAGUGAAAUAAUUCAACAGAUGAGAAGAAGAAGGUUAACCUUUUGAGUCGAAGGAGAACUUUAAUACUUUCAAUUUCAACUCCCAGUUCUUCUAAAGGCCUUUGCCCAAAGCUUUCGUUUUCUUCUCUUUUCUUUUCUUUCUUUCCUUCCUUCUCUCGCUUUGUUUUUCCUUUUUCCGUUUUGAAGCUGCUGCUUCGUUUCUCUUCAGAAGCUUUU
rnacentral:lncRNA from 1 species